rnacentral:lncRNA from 1 species
AUGGCUUCCACUAGCAAGGCGUUUAGACAGUGCGUGCAUCCGUGUCAGCGUUAUUUGACACCGGAUGACACACACAGUCUUUGCGUUUUUUGUUUGGGCGAAGAGCACGCGCGCGAUGUCCUUGAGGGGGCGAUCUGCGUGCACUGUGAGCGUUUUUCCAUGAAAAAGCUCCGCUCUCGUUUGUCUCUCUUUUCAAGGAAAGAGGGACAGCCAUCUGUCUCCCGCGGCUCAGGACCCGCCGCUGUUGAGGCACGGAGGAGAAUGAGCUCGUGGGGAUCACAGGUGGACCUCGUUGAAGAGUUUAGAGAGGGACUUUCCCUUUCUCGCUCUUCGGAGGCGGACGAGAAUGAACUUCAGGAGGAAGACGUGUUAUCAUUAACCCUUUCUGAUACUGAAGUUAGUGCUCUGCUGGGUUCUACCCAAGAAGAGCAGGAGAUGUCUGAGGUUGGCGAAGAAGCUGAGGCUGAGCCUUCUCAAUCCUCCUGCCCUGCGUAUGAGGAGCUGUUAGAGGUUAUGGAUCGUGCCACAGCAAAGUUAAACUUGCCAUGGAAACGUACAAGCAAAAUAACGCCGCAAGGUCACCUUGAUGAGCGUUAUUUAUCUGACCAUAGCCCUCCAGCCCAGGUGAGCCUUCCAUUCUUGCCUGAUUUACAUGCGGAAAUCAAGAAAGAAUGGAGGAGGCCAUUUUCUUCUCGCAUCCAUCGGUUUCAGCAUACAAGUUAUGCUAACAUCGAGGGCAUGCGCGAAAAUGGCUAUGAGAAGAUGCCCCCUGUAGAAGAGACGCUGGCUAGCUAUCUCUCUGUGGGGGAAACAUCCUCUCUUAAAUCUCCCUCUUUGCCAUCUAAGCCCCUCCAGGAUACAUCCCGCUUAAAUGGCAAAGCAUACGCAGCAGCGGGUCAGGCUGUGGCUUCAUUGCACACUAUGGCGGUGCUUCAGGCCUAUCAGGCUGACCUGCUGAGGGACCUGGAUAAAGGCGAGGGCCUUUCAGCUGAUCAGGUGGCCGAGCUGCGCCGCACCACAGACCUCUCUCUCCGUGCUACCAAGCAGGCCGCCUCCGCCAUGGGUAGGUCUAUGGCUGCCAUGGUAGUAACGGAGAGACAUCUGUGGGUGAACCUGGCAGACAUCGGGAAGAAAGAAAGGGGCUUUCUUCUCGAUGCUCCGGUCUCGCCUUCUGAGCUUUUCGGUACCUCCGUCGAGAUGGUGGUCGAAAAGUUCAGGGAGGCAAGGGCGCGCUCAGCUGCUUUUAAAACCUUCAUUCCACGAAGGUCCAGGUCCGAGCCCGAACAACAUAGGGGUCCUGGCCCGUCUCGUUCUGAGGAUCAAAGACGGGCGCAGAAGGCUAGUGUCGCGACUCGCGCUCCUCCCCCGCCUAUGGGCAGGGGCAAGAGGAAUCGUGGGUCGCGAGGAGGUAAGCAGGACCUGAGGGAUGUGAUUCAGACGAGGCAGCGUUCUCGUCCGAAUCAGAGCGAUACCUAG